rnacentral:rRNA from 1 species
AAUAAGCUAAAUAAGAGCGUAUGGGGAAUGCCUAGGCUCUCAGAGGCGAUGAAGGACGUGAUAAGCUGCGAAAAGUUGCGGGGAUUGGCACAUACAAAUUGAUCCGCAAAUAUCCGAAUGGGGCAACCCACUAUGUUGAAGACAUAGUAUCCGCAAGGAGGCAAACCCAGGGAACUGAAACAUCUAAGUACCUGGAGGAGAAGAAAACAAAAGUGAUUCCGUAAGUAGUGGCGAGCGAACGCGGAAUAGCCCAAACCAGUGUUGUUACGGCAAUACUGGGGUUGUAGRACUGCGUCAUUGUAUGAAUCAUGAAUUAGAACUGUUUGGAAAGACAGACCAAA